AAAAAGGCUCUUUUCAGAGCCACCCACAGUGAUCAUGAAGAGUUG
rfam:Podiceps cristatus contig49273, whole genome shotgun sequence.